CUUUACCUUUGCAGCCCGUUUUUUUAGAAGCGGGUAGUUCUUUGGAGAGGCGAAUUGGGAGGCGAGAAGGCAAAAGAAGUGUUAAACAGGAAAAUGGUUGUUGGAUGAAAGCCGGAUUGUUUUACCUUUGCAGCCCGAAUUUAGAACAGGUAAUAAGACAAGUAAGUUCUUUGAAAAUAUAGGUUAGCAGCAGACGGGGAAGUAGAGAGAGCGGGACAACGGAUUACAACGGAGAGUUUGAUCCUGGCUCAGGAUGAACGCUAGCGGCAGGCCUAACACAUGCAAGUCGAACGGUAGUCAGCAGCAAUGUUGACGAGAGUGGCGCACGGGUGCGUAACGCGUAUGUAACCUGCCCCAUACUGGGGGAUAGCCUCCCGAAAGGGAGAUUAAUACCCCAUGGUAAUACUGAGUUGCAUGACUUGGUAUUUAAAGCUGAGGCGGUAUGGGAUGGGCAUGCGUCCGAUUAGGUAGUUGGUAGGGUAAAGGCCUACCAAGCCUACGAUCGGUAGGGGAACUGAGAGGUUGGUCCCCCACACUGGUACUGAGACACGGACCAGACUCCUACGGGAGGCAGCAGUGAGGAAUAUUGGGCAAUGGCCGCAAGGCUGACCCAGCCAUGCCGCGUGCAGGAAGAAGGCCCUAUGGGUUGUAAACUGCUUUUCUCAGGGGGUAAACCCUCUUACGUGAUAGGAGGCUGAAAGUACCUGAGGAAUAAGCAUCGGCUAACUCCGUGCCAGCAGCCGCGGUAAUACGGAGGAUGCGAGCGUUAUCCGGAUUCAUUGGGUUUAAAGGGUCCGUAGGCGGUUUGUUAAGUCAGGGGUGAAAUCCUUCAGCUCAACUGAAGAAUUGCCUUUGAUACUGGCAGGCUAGAGUGCGACAGAGGUGGAUGGAAUGUGUCAAGUAGCGGUGAAAUGCAUAGAUAUGACACAGAACACCGAUUGCGAAGGCAGUUCACUGGGUCGCAACUGACGCUGAUGGACGAAAGCGUGGGGAGCAAACAGGAUUAGAUACCCUGGUAGUCCACGCCCUAAACGAUGAUCACUUGCUGUUGGUUCGUCAGAUGAAUCAGUGGCAAAGCGAAAGCGUUAAGUGAUCCACCUGGGGAGUACGGCCGCAAGGUUGAAACUCAAAGGAAUUGACGGGGGCCCGCACAAGCGGUGGAGCAUGUGGUUUAAUUCGAUGAUACGCGAGGAACCUUACCUGGGCUUAAAUGCAGGCUGACGGACUUGGAAACAGGUUUUUCCUUCGGGACGGCUUGCAAGGUGCUGCAUGGUUGUCGUCAGCUCGUGCCGUGAGGUGUUGGGUUAAGUCCCCUAACGAGCGCAACCCCUACCCUUAGUUACCAGCGGGAGAGCCGGGGACUCUAAGGGAACUGCCCCCGUAAGGGGAGAGGAAGGAGGGGAUGACGUCAAAUCAUCACGGCCCUUACGUCCAGGGCUACACACGUGCUACAAUGGCGGUUACAGAGGGCAGCCACCUGGCGACAGGGAGCUAAUCCUUAAAGACCGUCUCAGUUCGGAUUGGAGUCUGCAACUCGACUCCAUGAAGCUGGAAUCGCUAGUAAUCGCGCAUCAGCCAUGGCGCGGUGAAUACGUUCCCGGGCCUUGUACACACCGCCCGUCAAGCCAUGGGAGCCGGGGGUACCUGAAGUCGGUAACCGCAAGGAGCUGCCUAGGGUAAAACCGGUGACUGGGGCUAAGUCGUAACAAGGUAGCCGUACCGGAAGGUGCGGCUGGAAUACCUCCUUUUU
rnacentral:rRNA from 1 species